AGAUUUAUUUUUCUCGAUUUCGAUCGUUAUUUUUUUUUUUUUUCUUUUUUACAUAUAUUCGUUUCGUGCACGAAGCUGCCGACUUUGCUGUUGGUCGAUCGACUCAAUGCAUACUUUGAGGAAGACAAAAAGAAGAUUUGUCGACGGUAAAAAAGUAGAUUGAAAGUUGGGGAAAAAAAUAUACGCCUGUUCUUGCGAAAGAUCUUGUUGGAUGGAGAUGAUGGAACGGAAUCUUCGACGGUUCGUUGACUUUGGACGCAUAUUAAAUUUCCACUUGCAACGUAUAAAAAUAUGAAUAAAAAAACACGAGUGUGCCGGUUAUCAAAAUAGCGGAAAAGGUAAAUGAGAAACGUGAUAAUAAAUGGUGGGUAAGCGUAUUUUAUAACAAUAUCGAGAACACGAGGAUAAAGUUGAUAGAACGGAAUCUAUGUGGAACCGGUUCAUCCGCUUCUUUCGGUUCGAUGAAGUUCUAAAUACGGCCCUCCCUCGGUAACAGGAACCUCAAGGUUAACUGCUGGCUGUCGUAACAAUCCACGGAUGAAAUGACCGAUCGUUUGAAAAUACGCUAGUUAAAAAUUCUUUCGCCAUUCUGUAAUCCUGUAAUUAUUUCGAUAUCGACUCGCGACCCGAACGAAUCGAGCUUUCCAUCCCCGGUAACGUGACUUAUUCAAGUGGGUCACAAAAGAAAACGUCGUGUCAGUUGAAAUCCUGUAUUUUUGAUCAAGUCCAGAAUGGAAUAAUAAAUCUGACUAUUUUUAAUCUUUGCGCAGAUUUUUUUUUUC